GAAUUCAGUGAAUCAUCGAAUCUUUGAACGCACCUUGCGCUCCUUGGUAUUCCUCGGAGCAUGCCUGUUUGAGUAUCAUGAAAUUAUCAAAAUAAAUCUUUUGUUCAUUCGAUUGAUUUUAUUUUGGACUUGGGGGUCUGCAGAUUCACGUCUGCUCCCCUUAAAUGAAUUAGCUGGAUCACUGUAGACUCGGUUCCACUCGGCGUGAUAAGUAUCACUCGCUGAGGACACUUUGUAAAAGAAGUGGCCGGGACUAUUAGAGAACCGCUUCCAAUAGUCCAUUUGCUUGGACAAUUACAUUUAUGAUCUGAUCUCAAAUCAGGUAGGACUACCCGCUGAACUUAAGCAUAUCAAUAAGCGGAGGA
rnacentral:rRNA from 1 species